GGCCAGGUAGGGAGAGCACAGGGACAUCCACACUCCAACCUCUCUCUUCUGCCCUCCCAGGAUCUUGGCCAGUGGCUCCCCUUGGCUGGAUCCAAUCAGAAACCAGAGGACAGGGAAGCCCCAGUCUUUCUACUUGUUCUGCCAUAAAGUGACUGCCGUGUGUGAAAAGUUUCCAGCGCAACCAAGCUUACGUCAAAUUUUCCUCAAGUUUUUAAAAUCUUUGCCUUAUGAGUUAUGAUUUAUCGAGAUGCCGAGAUCCAUGAUUCCCUAACAGAGCAAAGAUUCCAGAAGGAAGGUGCGUCUUACAAGCAGAAUAUCUUCGGAUUUUAAAAAAUUAAUCCGAGUUUGCCCUUUUGAGGAGAAGUUAAUCCCUGCGCGUUUACAUAAUAUGAAAUAAAUCUGAUCCACAUAUGGC